AUCUAGCCAACCCUGAGCCACUGAAGAGUGUCAAGCUGCCUGCGGUCGAUGCCCUGCUGAAGCGUGUGCGCCAGAAGCGCCUGGCUGUAGCUGCUAAAGCUGCUGUCUAGGACUGGAACUGCUGGUGACACCUCUGUCCUCUCCCCCUUCAGAGGAAAGAGGAGAUGAUCAUCCCUGGAUGUCCCCACCUGAUCUCCUGGGAGCCCUGGGCCGUGUCCCUCUCAUGAUCAAUAAACCCCCUCAG